CUAGGAAUAUUGGACAAUGGGCGAAAGCCUGAUCCAGCAACACCGCGUGGAGGACGAAGGCCUUCGGGUCGUAAACUCCUUUUUGGGGGAUGAGAAAGGACAGUACCCCCAGAAUAAGGCCCGGCUAACUACGUGCCAGCAGCCGCGGUAAUACGUAGGGGCCAAGCGUUAUCCGGAUUUACUGGGCGUAAAGCGCAUGUAGGCGGUCUGCUAAGUCGGACGUGAAAGCUCCUGGCUCAACUGGGAGAGGUCGUUCGAAACUAGUAGACUAGAGGGUGGUAGAGGAGAGCGGAAUUCCAGGUGUAGCGGUGAAAUGCGUAGAUAUCUGGAGGAACACCAGUGGCGAAAGCGGCUCUCUGGCCCACUCCUGACGCUGAGAUGCGAAAGCCAGGGGAGAGAACGGGAUUAGAAACCCGGGUAG
rnacentral:rRNA from 1 species